GAUAGCGGACCCUUCACAACGGAUCGUUCGGCACGUACCUGCCGAUGAAAGGAAUGGCUA
rfam:Bifidobacterium mongoliense DSM 21395 Contig03, whole genome shotgun sequence.